CCUACGGGGGGCUGCAGUGGGGAAUAUUGGACAAUGGGGGGAACCCUGAUCCAGCCAUGCCGCGUGUGUGAAGAAGGCCCUCGGGUUGUAAAGCACUUUCAGUGAGGAAGAACGCCUGGUGGUUAAUACCCAUCAGGAAAGACAUCACUCACAGAAGAAGCACCGGCUAACUCCGUGCCAGCAGCCGCGGUAAUACGGAGGGUGCGAGCGUUAAUCGGAAUUACUGGGCGUAAAGCGCGCGUAGGUGGCUUGAUAAGCCGGUUGUGAAAGCCCCGGGCUCAACCUGGGAACGGCAUCCGGAACUGUCAAGCUAGAGUGCAGGAGAGGAAGGUAGAAUUCCCGGUGUAGCGGUGAAAUGCGUAGAGAUCGGGAGGAAUACCAGUGGCGAAGGCGGCCUUCUGGACUGACACUGACGCUGAGGUGCGAAAGCGUGGGUAGCAAACAGGAUUAGAUACCCGAGUAGUC
rnacentral:rRNA from 1 species